rnacentral:rRNA from 1 species
GAUGAACGCUGGCGGCGUGCCUAAUACAUGCAAGUCGAGCGAACAGACGAGGAGCUUGCUCCUCUGACGUUAGCGGCGGACGGGUGAGUAACACGUGGAUAACCUACCUAUAAGACUGGGAUAACUUCGGGAAACCGGAGCUAAUACCGGAUAAUAUAUUGAACCGCAUGGUUCAAUAGUGAAAGACGGUUUUGCUGUCACUUAUAGAUGGAUCCGCGCCGCAUUAGCUAGUUGGUAAGGUAACGGCUUACCAAGGCAACGAUGCGUAGCCGACCUGAGAGAGUGAUCGGCCACAAUGGAAUUGAGACACGGUCCAGACUCCUACGGGAGGCAGCAGUAGGGAAUCUUCCGCAAUGGGCGAAAGCAUGAAGGAGCAACGCCGCGUGAGUGAUGAAGGUCUUCGGAUCGUAAAACUCUGUUAUUAGGGAAGAACAAAUGUGUAAGUAAAUAUGCACGUCUUGACGGUACCUAAUCAGAAAGACACGGCUAACUACGUG